rnacentral:rRNA from 1 species
UACGUAGGGGGCAAGCGUUGUCCGGAAUCAUUGGGCGUAAAGAGCGUGUAGGCGGCUUUACAGGUCCGUUGUGAAAACUCGAGGCUCAACCUCGAGACGCCGGUGGAAACCGUAAAGCUAGAGUCCGGAAGAGGAGAGUGGAAUUCCUGGUGUAGCGGUGAAAUGCGCAGAUAUCAGGAAGAACACCCGUGGCGAAGGCGGCUCGCUGGGACGGUACUGACGCUGAGGCGCGAAAGCGUGGGGAGCGAACAGG